GAUGAAGAACGUAGCGAAAUGCGAUACGUAAUGUGAAUUGCAGAAUUCAGUGAAUCAUCGAAUCUUUGAACGCAUAUUGCGCUCUCUGGUAUUCCGGAGAGCAUGCUUGUUUGAGUAUCAGUAAACACCUCAACUCCCUUUUCUUUUUUGAAAUUGGAGCUGGACUUGAGUGAUCCCAACGCUUUCUUCCAAGAAAGUGGCGGGUUGCUUGAAAUGCAGGUGCAGCUGAACUUUUCUCUGAGCUAUAAGCAUAUCUAUUUAGUCUGCCUAAAAAACAGAUUAUUACCUUUGCUGCAGCUAACAUAAAGGAGGCUAGUUCUUGUGCUGACUGAUGCAGGAUUCACAGAGACAGCUUCGGCUGACUUUGUAAACUCGAUCUCAAAUCAAGUAAGACUACCCGCUGAACUUAAGCAUAUCAAUAAGCGGAGGA
rnacentral:misc_RNA from 1 species